UUUGUGUCAAUAAAAAUUCCUAUGUUAUUUAUUAUAUUUUAAAAAUAGUUCUGAACUAUUUGUGACCCAGGUUUUAAAAAGCACGCCUGAGGCGCACCUAGGCGCACUAAGGCGCAGGUCUCAGCGCACUUUUUCCACAAAGCGCAUUUUUUUGGGUGGCCUGAUGUAUUUUGGGUGUUUUUAUGUUGUUAAUGAAAGUGUUGGACAAUAGGUUUUUUUGCUUGCACCUAAAAUCAUAUAUAAACCUUAGUUAUAACUAUAUUUUUGACAAGGGGUGAUAAAAACCUAUGGAUAUAUAUAAAAAUUAUAUAAUCUUUUUGCGCCACGGGUACGAAAAGCCCACCGCUUUUGCGCUU
rnacentral:lncRNA from 1 species